rnacentral:lncRNA from 1 species
GGGAAAAGACGGUAGGAUAUGUACAUCUCUGCACGUAACUGAGUAAAUCAGAAAGUGGUGGGAGCAAUGGUUAUUCGUUGAGGGCACCUAUUUUGCCAUCAGUCCCAGUUGUGGGUUCCUGGACUCUGAAUGAGGUGACUCCUGUUCCUGUCCUGCCUCUGAUCCCAUCUGGGAUAUUCCCCAAAUCUCCUCCUACCUCAGUUUCCCUCUGUUGUCAGACAGAUAAAUAUUGUUUCCUCCCUUUGUAAAGCUCCCCAUGAAAUGCUGCUAAGACAGAGCAAGGUGUGGUGUUUUUAUGGCUGCUCUUUGCCUUGGGUUUGCAGAGGAAGCCUGCUCUCACCCCAAGGCACGGUGACCUGCCAGCACCAGCAGGAGGGAGCAGCCCCAGGACUCCCUGCAGAGGUAGCACUUUGAAGCAAAGGGUGUUGCAAGUGCAUAAAUCCCUUCCUACUAUGUGCUUCCUUGCCCUGGUGGCAUUUAUGGCUUGUUGCUGUGUUUUAGGAGCAUUAGGGAAAAUACAGAUAGUCUGGCAUUUUAUUACUCAUAUUUCUCUGCUCUUAAUGACUGAAUGGAGCACGACUUGCUAAUGAACUAGGCUGAAAUGAAUGCAUUUGUGGCACUAAUUGAAAUAAACCCAAGGUCUGGCUUUUCAAAAGGAGUAAAACCUCUAGCACUCUCAAAAAAAGAAAAGAAAAGAAAAGAAAAGAAAAGAAAAGAAAAGAAAAGAAAAGCCUCUUUUACUGUCUUUAACCCCUGCUUGUUGUCUUUCAGUACAGCUGCAUUUGGAUGCAACAGAGCAAGGCAGAUUCUGCUUGCGGGAACUAGGGAUUCAUGGUGCAGGAUGCUGGGGACUGGGCUUGGUGUUGCUCCCUUCCUCAUCUAUAAAAGCAGCUCAUUAGGGGCAGUAGGGUUCUCAGGUAGCAGAGGGUUAUGUGGAGAUGGCCUGGGAGCACAUGGAUGGAGGAAUUACUGGCAUUUCAAGUACCCACAGUGGCACUGCAAGCCAGACCAGCUGUGCCUGGUUAAUUAA